AUUGAACGCUGGCGGCAUGCCUUACACAUGCAAGUCGAACGGUAACAGGUCUUCGGAUGCUUACGAGUGGCGAACGGGUGAGUAAUACAUCGGAACGUGCCUAGUAGUGGGGGAUAACUACUCGAAAGAGUGGCUAAUACCGCAUGAGAUCUACGGAUGAAAGCAGGGGAUCGCAAGACCUUGUGCUACUAGAGCGGCCGAUGGCAGAUUAGGUAGUUGGUGGGAUAAAAGCUUACCAAGCCGACGAUCUGUAGCUGGUCUGAGAGGACGAUCAGCCACACUGGGACUGAGACACGGACCAGACUCCUACGGGAGGCAGCAGUGGGGAAUUUUGGACAAUGGGCGAAAGCCUGAUCCAGCAAUGCCGCGUGCAGGAUGAAGGCCUUCGGGUUGUAAACUGCUUUUGUACGGAACGAAAAGCCUUGGGUUAAUACCCUGGGGUCAUGACGGUACCGUAAGAAUAAGCACCGGCUAACUACGUGCCAGCCGCCGCGGUAAGAC
rnacentral:rRNA from 1 species